rnacentral:rRNA from 1 species
UGGCCUUGACAUACUAAGAACUUUCCAGAGAUGGAUUGGUGCCUUCGGGAACUUAGAUACAGGUGCUGCAUGGCUGUCGUCAGCUCGUGUCGUGAGAUGUUGGGUUAAGUCCCGCAACGAGCGCAACCCUUUUCCUUAUUUGCCAGCGGGUAAUGCCGGGAACUUUAAGGAUACUGCCAGUGACAAACUGGAGGAAGGCGGGGACGACGUCAAGUCAUCAUGGCCCUUACGGCCAGGGCUACACACGUGCUACAAUGGUCGGUACAAAGGGUUGCUACCUCGCGAGAGGAUGCUAAUCUCAAAAAGCCGAUCGUAGUCCGGAUCGCAGUCUGCAACUCGACUGCGUGAAGUCGGAAUCGCUAGUAAUCGCGGAUCAGAAUGCCGCGGUGAAUACGUUCCCGGGCCUUGUACACACCGCCCGUCACACCAUGGGAGUUUGUUGCACCAGAAGUAGGUAGUCUAACCGCAAGGAGGACGCUUACCACGGUGUGGCCGAUGACUGGGGUGAAGUCGUAACAAGGUAGGCGUAGAUGA